CCGGCACGGUAAGAGCUUCCGAGGAAUAGAGUUGAAGUUUUUCCAUUUGAGACAAGUUGUCUAUACAUUAUAGUAAGGUUUGUGGAGAUUCUUUCAUUUUCAUCAUUUUCAUCGUCACCGUCAUAGUUUAAGUCUAUGAGUGUUGGAGGUUGAUGAUUUGCAUUUCGGAGUUCAUCGUAAAGAGGAGAUGUACGGUCGGUGUAAAUGGAGGGAAAUUGCAUGCCAUUUGGAGCGUCAUAGUUCCAAAAUGGUAAAGCAAAGGUUGGAUCAUUGAUCAAGCUACCCAAGAUUCUUUCAUAGAAAUAAAGAUACCAUCUAUGAAAAGGAAAAAAGAGCCAAGAAUUAUGAACUUGAAGAUCAAGAUUAGGGAAACCAACUUGGGAAUAUGCACCAUCACAAUAAGCACAAUGGAUGUUUGCUUGUUGUAUGAAACUACGUGGAUCAUUGGAUGGUAAGGCUUUCAUGAGUUCAAUGGCUUUUUUGUACUUUUGUAGAUAUUCAUCAUUGACUAAAUGUGCUGCUUGUCUUACCCUUAAGGGUUGAUUUGAUGAAGGAAUUUUGUAAUUUAUGAUUUUUGUGGAAUUUGGUGGACAACAAUUAAUAUUGUUUGGUGUUGCACCUAAGGGUAGAUCCGGUGGACCACAUGUUGAAAGGUCAGGUGGGGAUAUUGGAGAAGCUAGGGCAAAAGGGUUAGUGGUGAAAGUACCACAAAGUCCUCCAAGGCCAAUUAGAACAUUCCUCCUAUUUCCUACAACAAUGUUUUGUGGUUCUUGUUCCUCUUUAGGGUUGUUUUGGUUACUAUUAUUACCACUCAAUGUGAUCACUUGGCGUCUUGAUAAUUUUCUAUGUCUAGAAUAUUUUUGUUGUUUUUGUGAAAAUGGAUAGGAAGAAGGGGAAAUCUUUGAGUUGGAAGAGACAUUGAUUGAGUGAAUGAAAGCAAGGGGUGAGAUAGAUGCCGCCAUGGUUUAGCUAGCUAUCUAUCUUAUAUUUUUUUUUGAUCGUGAAGAUUUAAGACAAUUUCUUAGUUCUUUUAUAAUGAAGUAAUGAAGAUAUUUCUUACACUUAAUGUGUACGUGUGUGGCAAUGCUCCCUAAAAGAAAUUAGUAACGUGGACUUAAACGUUAAUUUUGACAUUUAGCGAAUUGGAAUCGGAAUUUGUUGUUUGCUAAUGCAUAUGGUUUGAAUGUUUUAACAUUACCGUAUCCAUUUUGAGUACUACUAUUGGCACCCAAAGUCCAAAAUUCAAAUCAAAAUAAUGAAAAUUCUACCCACAUAGAAGUCCGAACACGUAAAUAGUAUUAUAGUGGGCAGGUUAGCUGUGAAUGGAAGUAAGAAAGAUCUUUUUACAUGCGUAUCUAAUUUAUUUGUUUGGUGUACAUUAGGUGUCUAUGCCCACAAAUGCGGUGGUUUAUUAUCAUUCUGCCAAAAAAUAACAAGAGCUAGAGGAUAGCAUACCAUUUUUUAGGGUAUAAUUGAUUGCCAAGGGUGGCCUAACACUAAAUAGGGCUAAUAGUGGUGGUUAAACGGGACGGUCUGAUUCGUUUUGGUCAACUCUGCGAUUAAUCCAUCUAAAAAGGGAGGGUCAACUUAAGUGAUUAAUUAGUAUUCUUUUUCUUUUGAAGAAGAACUUAAGUGGUUUAGCUAAAACUCUCACUUUGUACCCCUAGGGUGAUAGGAGAGGUGUUCGAAGAAUCGUGGUGCGAUUUGAAUAGAUUUUAAGGUGAAAAAUCAUAUGAUCCAAAGAAGAAUCAUCGAUCUGAAUAGAUUUCACCAAUUAAUUUUAUCAGAUUAAUUUAGCACGGUUUAAUUUAGAUCAAAUUUUAAAUAUCAAAAUUAUAUUAAAUUUUUUAUUAAUAUUAUGAAAAUAACAUAUUUUAUACAAAAUAUAACAUACAAUAUAUUAAAAAAAAAACAUUACAAAAUGACGAUGAUCAAUUGUGUUUCAAACAUAUGAAAUAAAAAAAAAUGUAGAUUAAAUUAGAAAAUUAAAAACCAACAUAUAGUUUAUUAAAAUGCAAUAUACCAUACUGAUAAAAAAAAAAAAAGUAUUAAAAUUUAUGUAUGCUGUUUGGUUUUGUUGAUAAAAAGGAAUUUGAAGUUUGAUCCGACCUAAACAGUUUUACAAAAUAACAUUGAAAUACAUUCAAUAAUAUUCGGUUUCGUGCAAUUUUUCAGUUUUUUAGAUCGAUAUUUGGAUAUGUUUAGUUAUGAACACUCUCUAGCGGGAGAGUUUUAACAAAUAUGACAUGAAUAUACAUUCAUAUUAACUAUCAAAUGACCAAACCAAACAUGAUAUAUGCCCCAAUUAAUAAUUAAAAACAAUAUAAUAAAAAAAAAGUGGUGAUUGCUAUGGUUUUCUAAGGUGAAAAGAGAGAGUAUUUUGUUUAUGCAUCAUAUUCUUAAAAUAUUAGUUUGUAAUGAAUAUGUUUAAUUCAUUUUGUGUUAACCCUCUAGUUUCCUUUUUUUUUUUUAGCAAAAAACUUUCUACUUCUUAGAUAAAGUAGGUCUUGUGAAUCGGAGUUCGACCGUGAAUGAAUAUGUUUAAUUCAAAUCUUCUAAUUCUUCCAAAAUACUCGGUAGUAUUAUGAAUUACAGAUGUAUUUAGAAAAAAUUAAAUAAAUGCAUAUCUUCUUAUAAUUUAAAUGAUGUUUAUAUAUCGUAACAAUUUUUUAAUAAAAAAGAAUUAUGCCUAGCAAUAGAAGUAGUAUUACAUAAUUGGUGAGUGAGUGCAUAUUUUGACCUAAUAAGAGAAAAGAAGCUUUAAAUUUUUGCCAUAAGUAGCAUUUAAGAUAUGAAUCAAAUUCCAACCCUACAACUGUGUUUUGUCCAUAACUGGUCUGUGAUCACGUACCGAAGAAGAUAAACACCAUCAAUCUCAACAUAUAAGGAAUGAACAUCUUAAUUAGCAAUUUUGAUCAGACAUAAGUGAGGCUGUUUAUAUUGAUCACGCCUAUAUAUGAAAAGGUUUGUUAAGGAACAAAUGCAAACCAAUUGUAAUCAAUGACAAUUAGGUCUAUGGAGCCACAUGUAUUAUUAGAUUGGGAUUGUAUUCUAACCAAUAACAUGUUGGAGAGAUAACCAACCGAACAUGACUCCUAACCAGGCUUUUUAUACAAUGAUCUAAUACUAAGGAUCCCACUCUUGAUCUUCCAUCAAAUUGAAUUUAAGUUUUGAUAUACCAAUUGCCGGAGAGUCUAAGGAAGUGUCAGGAGCAACAACAACCGAGAGAAACAAGAGGCCAUUAUGUCAACCUUGUUUGUGGAGAUGGCAAAGCAUUGAAAUAAAAAAAAAUAUAUCAAUAAUUUUAUGAAAAAAAGGAACUUGGUAAAUAAGUGUACGUUCUAUAUGCCAAAGGACACUUUGAGAAAGAUUUUCCAAAAUGCAAGGCUUGGAUUGAAAAGAAAUGUAUGAAUGGAACGUUUUAUGCCCUUUUGAAUCAAACUUAAUUGAUGUUCCUCAUGAUUUUUAGUGGCUUGAUUCUGGUGCUAAUACACACGCAUCUAAUUGUUCACGAGACAUAUGGAAAAUGCUAACAGGUGUCUAAGUGCCCUUGCUCCAAUGACACUUGUUAAGAAGUUUAAAGGUCAAAUGCAUCUAAAGGUUCUUUAAGUUUUUCGUUUUUCCUAAAGUGGUCUUUAAGUUUCAAAAGUCCCAAACAAGUCCUACUAGUUUUUGAAUAAGUUCAAACAAGUCCUAUUGUAGAUAGCAUAGUUGGUAAUUGCUUCCUUGAACUCAUCUUUGAUACCAAAUCUGGCUCAUAACACCCACUUAAAAUUAGUCAUCUUUUUAGGCAUGGCAAAUGGUGUAUAAUGCUCUUUGUUGCUAUCAUCUGAAUCAUCACCAUCAUCCUCUAAAAGGACUUGUUUGAAACGAUUCAAAAACUAAAAUGACUUGUUUGGAACUUUUGAAACUUAAAGGAUUUGUUUGAGACUUUUGAAACUUAAAGGACCACUUUGGAAGAAACGAAAAACUUAAAAGAUCGACCAAAUUUAAAGUACUCCUUAUGUAUCUAAUUUUGAAUCCUUGCAAAGUGUCAUGUUAGCAUGACCUUAAAUAAAAAUGCAAAAAGAGUAAUAAAGCCUUAUUCAACAAUGAACUUGUUGACUCGGAGCAGUUACAACUUUUGACAUAUAUUCGUCCCGAAAAGUCAGCCCUGAAUAACAAGGCAAUUUGUCUAAGACCAUUAUUAGCCUAGAGAACAUAUGAUAUGACAAACAUGUAUGCCAUGGUGUUAUCAAGUUUUUCUAGAAAUAAGGGUAGAAAACAUUGUAAUAAAGGUUGCUUAAUACAUUUCAUAAAUCAUGUCUAACUCAUAAUAUUAUUGUCAAUGACAUGCAUUUGAUUAAGUAUGCGACUUACUUCAAAUUUAUUUUAAAGUCUUUUAUCUUUCCCGCAAUUUACUUUUUCCUGCAAUUUUAUCUUUCUUACACUUUACAUUUAUGCAAUUUAGUUUUCAAGGCAUUAACAUUUUCUCCAUUUUAGUUUGCAAGUCAAUUUAAUUUCAUGCACUCUACAUUUUACACUUCUUCGCAUGUUCAUUAACUUUUUUCUAAGUUACUUUUGGGGGGCUUUUCGAUUUUCAUUUAGAGCGAUCCCAAUCAAAUCAACCACAUCCUUGCAUGAUCUUCUACAAAGUUUUUUUUGUUAAUAUUUAUAAAAUAAUCGUGUAAUAUAUAUGUGCAUGUGUAGAUUAAAACAUGGUCGUCUUAAACACUAUCGAGAUAUUGUUUUAAAAAUGGGUAUAUGCAAAAAUUUGGAGCAUCAAAAUUUUAGACGCCGAGAUUGAUUUAUACAGAAAGUUAAACCCCUAAAAAUUAAUAUAUGUGGGAAUUUGGCCCCUUAAAAACUUUGAGGUCAUUUUUAAUCUUAAACAUUUUGGAUUCCGGCAAGAACAUAGUCAAUAAUUGGUUCGUAAUUCGCUUCGCUACUUGAUACGAGUUCUAGUACACAACCCUCAAAGUAUUAGGUACGAAGGAGUACAUAUAGUCGAUACACUAUUUUAAUUCAUGGUAUGAUUUAAUAUAUUCAACGCUACAUAUGAAUAUGUUUUCAAAUUAUACAAAUGUAAAGCCAUAUUUACACAGAUGAAAUAAUCAAUAUAAAUACAAGAUACACACACAUAAAUAUAUACUGUAUUUUACUGUAAGAAAUACGUAUAUAUUUACCGGUCAACACACGAGCAAUAUAAAUACAUAUACUUUACCUCAAAAAAUACACAUACAUACCAUGCAUACAUAUAUCAGUGUGGUCCUCCUUCACAAAAUAAAAUAAACUAAUACACACACACAUAUAUAUCAAGUGGUUCAAAUUUUCAACCUUCAAGCUCUAUCAUAAUGUUUCUGAUUUUAACAAGUCCUUUCCCGUACCUUGGAACCAAAGUAACCACAACACUGUCAUCAUCAUCAACUCCCAAAUCUUCCAGCAAGUCCGUUAAUCCAAAUCUACAACUACUAUUAAUAUUCUUCAUUGUUUGUUCAUGCAAAGAAUGAGGUACAUUCACAAAGCUCCCAGCAAACUCUGUAUUAAAUGGCUUAACCACCUUAUCUUUAUCAUUAAUAAACACAUCAAACUUUACACAUGCUUUCGUAUCAAACACAAUCCCUUCAAUAACUAAAACCUCUUCUUCUUCUUCCUUCUCCUUUUUGCUCCUUGAUUUUUUUGGCCUCUUCACAGUUGUACUCACCAUAUCAUCCAAAACCAAUGGAAACUUAAUAUCGUUUCUUGAAUUAGUUAAGUUCUCAUUAAUCUCACUUAGACGAGCUUUACCAGUACCAAAACUAUUUCCUUGUGCAACUUCCACUUUUUUUUGUAUUUUUUUACAUGGUGUAGGUUUAGCAUUUAACCAUGGAAUAUCAACAUCUUGGUAAACAUAACCUAAUUUUUUUGUGUCAAGACAGUCUUUGACAUUAACCUUAACAAGAUUCUUAUUUUCAUCAUAGAAAAGAAACUCUGAUUCUAACCAAUCUUUGUCAUUGAAAUCCUUUCUUUUCCCACCAAGUGUUUUCCAUAUAGACCAAAACCUAUCAAUAUUUGAAUGGUGAGAGAAAAAAAUAGGAUCUCUUGCAGCUGAAUAGAAAUCUCCCAUGUCUUCAAAGUUAGGUUGCGUAUCAUCACCACUCCAUAGAUGAACUAUAUUAUGUGGAACAAUCUCUACGGAUCCAGCACCGGGAUCCGGUGCAUCUCCAGCACGGUAAGGGUUUCCGAGGAAAAGUGUUGAGGUUUUUCCACCAGACACAACCUGUCUAUACAUUAUAGUAAGGUUUGUGGAGAUCCUUUCAUUUUCAUCAACUUCAUCGCUAUCAUCGCCAGGUACAUAGUUAAAGUCUAUGAGUGUUGGAGGUUGAUGAUUUGCAUUUCGGAGUUCAUCGUAAAGAGGAGAUGUACGGUCGGUGUAAAUGGAGGGAAAUUGCAUGCCAUUAGGAGCGUCAUAGUUCCAAAAUGGUAAAGCAAAGGUUGGAUCAUUGAUCAAGCUACCCAAGAUUCUUUCAUAGAAAUAAAGAUACCAUCUAUGAAAAGGAAAAAAGAGCCAAGAACUAUGAACUUGAAGAUCAAGAUUAGGAAAACCAACUUGGGAAUAUGCACCAUCACAAUAAGCACAAUG
rnacentral:lncRNA from 1 species